GAACGAUGGGGCUGUUGCUGCUAAAGUGCUGCAAGAAAAGAGAAUCACCUCAGCUCUUGUGCUUGCGUCUUGUUUCCAGCCACAGGCUCAAGCUGCGAACCUUGAGCUCGUUUGACUUGCACAGAAAGCACGAGGAUGCCAUGACCCCGGCAGGGCUGGCGUUUCAACAGCGCCAGUGGGACAGCUGCGUUUCCUGGGUCUUCCAUCAGCUCCUCAAUAUGAGAGAGCCCGUGUUUGAAUUUGUGCGGCCGCCUGUUUACCAUCCUCCCCAGGUGAAGUUCCCACGCCACCAGCCCCUGAGGUACCUGGACAGGUACCGAGACAGCAAGGAGCCCACCUACGGCAUUUACUAGGGCUGGGCCUCCCCUCGAGGUGCUCAGCUCUGCGCUGGCUGGAAGGGCUGGGCUUAUCCUUCCUUGGAAAAAUCAUUAAAUGAACCCAGAUCAAGUA